rnacentral:rRNA from 1 species
UACAGAGGUCUCAAGCGUUGUUCGGAUUCAUUGGGCGUAAAGGGUGCGUAGGUGGCGCCGUAAGUCAGGUGUGAAAUUUCGGAGCUUAACUCCGAAACUGCAUUUGAUACUGCGGUGCUUGAGGACUGGAGAGGAGACUGGAAUUCACGGUGUAGCAGUGAAAUGCGUAGAUAUCGUGAGGAAGACCAGUGGCGAAGGCGGGUCUCUGGACAGUUCCUGACGCUGAGGAGCGAAAGCGUGGGGAGCGAACAGG